GGAUGGGUGACCUGCUUGGGCGAGAGUAGUACUAGGAUGGGUGACCUCCUGCGAAGUCCUCGUGUUGCAUUCC
rnacentral:rRNA from 1 species